AACGAACGCUGGCGGCAGGCUUAACACAUGCAAGUCGAGCGCCCCGCAAGGGGAGCGGCAGACGGGUGAGUAACACGUGGGAACAUACCCAUCUCUGCGGAACAACUCCGGGAAACUGGAGCUAAUACCGCAUACGCCCUUAGGGGGAAAGAUUUAUCGGAGAUGGAUUGGCCCGCGUUGGAUUAGCUAGUUGGUGGGGUAAAGGCCUACCAAGGCGACGAUCCAUAGCUGGUCUGAGAGGAUGAUCAGCCACAUUGGGACUGAGACACGGCCCAAACUCCUACGGGAGGCAGCAGUGGGGAAUAUUGGACAAUGGGCGCAAGCCUGAUCCAGCCAUGCCGCGUGAGUGAUGAAGGCCUUAGGGUUGUAAAGCUCUUUCACCGAUGAAGAUAAUGACGGUAGUUGGAGAAGAAGCCCCGGCUAACUUCGUGCCAGCCGCCGCGGUAACAC
rnacentral:rRNA from 1 species